UGCCAGUAUAGCGGUGCGGGACUUCUGGUCCGCCGCUAUACCUCCCUGUUGGACUGGCCGGGCUUCGUGCCCGGCCUCUUUU
rnacentral:ncRNA from 1 species